rnacentral:lncRNA from 1 species
UCCCGGCCCCUGCCCCAGGCCGGAGGGCAGAGGAAGUGCCCGGCCCCUCCCGAGGCUCUGGGGCCGCAGUGGGCUCGGGGGUGGGAGACGAGGUCCAAGCGCCGGCGAGACCCCUGCCAGCCCGGGACCUGGGCUCGGAGGCUCCCUUCCGGAUUUCCAAAAUCUGCGGAGGCAGCAUUUGUUCCGCCUCUCCCCUCUAGAGUGUGGAGACAGGAGGACGUCUGUGUAGGGAAGCACGUCGUUGGCAGACUGCUGUUUUGCCGAUGUUUAUUUGUUAUGCCAUUAUGACUGUUAGGAUUUCUCACCUGGAGUGGCUUCCGCCAUAAGCGCCGGGAUCUGGAAGGACGGCACGUUUGACUUCUGUUGUCCCAACCUCACUUGCCAGCCCUUGGCACCGCCCCAGCUUGGAUCCUCAGGGCGCCUCUGUUAUUUUCAUUCAUUUUUUUUGAGGACUCCAGGGUUCAGGUUUCUUAACUCCUGGACCAAAGUUCGCCCCGCUCGUAGCACCCUGUCUCUCAUCCUUAGAGAUUCUGAAGUUUGGACUUGAGCUUUUGGGGCAGAGACUGAAUUGGGCCUUAUGCAACUCUUGCAAUACCGAUGACCUGCAAAGGACAGUAUGGAAGAGAUGAGCAUUAGAGUUUGGAUCCGGAUGGGGCCAGAAAUACCCUGAAUUAAGAGUGGGAAGGGGGGGCCCAUCAAAAUCAUUGAUCUUAAAAAUAAGUAAGGCCUGUGGGGUGAAAUUUGAAAUAAAGCAGAAAGAUAAGCUUCUUUGAUUAUUAUAUAACUUAAAAAAGUGUUUAUCAGCUUUGAAUACCCCCAAGAUGGUCACAGCAUUAA